UUGGAUGUCCAGACUGGGCCUGCUCUGUGAGACUGGGAAAGUGGGGGCAGUGCCCACACACAGUAACCGGGGAAGAAGAGCAAGAGAAGAAACAGAGCAGCCCACGGAACUGAACUCCUAGGAACAAGAACUUAGGGGCUAAAGCAGUAAGGUUGCAAAACCGAGCACAGUUUGAAGUAUGAAGUGAGAUCCUGGCUCAAAACACAAAACAAAACCUAGGGUUUUAAAAGCUAUUAGUUUAUUCAGUUUACCUGUGGAGGUUGGAGGUCAGAGGAACUUUCCAGAAUAAGUUCUACUAUCGCUUCUCAGCCUUUUGGCUAAGAUCAAGUGCAGAAUAAGUUCUACUGUGGCUUCUGGGGUCAAACUCUGGUUGUCAGGCUUGAUGUGUGAUAAACACUUUUACACAGUGAGCCACUUUGCUGCUCCCAAAACCUAGGGUCUCAAAAAGGCCUUGCAGCAGGAUGUCAAUGUCUGAUAGAAUCAAUAUACCAUACAUUUAUUUAUACCAUCUUUGGGGAAGGGGGUUGAGACAGGGUUUCUCUGGAUAGCCCUGACUGUUCUGGAACUCUCUCUAGACCAGCUGCCCUCAAAUUCAGAGAUCUGCCUGCUGAGUGCUGGGAUAAAAGGCGUGUGCCACCCCUGGCUUUGUUUCAGGGUUUUGUCUCCCAGAUAAGGGAAAUAAAGGAUCAGAGAACUUGUCCAGGGUCACACUGUUUUUUGUUUGUUUUGUUUUGUUUUGUUUGUUUGUUUGUAGACAGGGUCUCACUGUGUAUCCCUGGCUGGUCUGUAACUUGCUAUAUAGAUCACACUGGCCUUGACCUCACAGAGAUCUGCCUGCCUCUGCUGUAAUUAUAGGCAUGUGGCACCAUCCCCUACUAAUCACACAAACUCUUAAGUGACAGAGACAGCAUUUGACUCUAGACCAUCAUUCCCCCUCAAAAAAUUUAUUCACCAAAGGAAAAGGAAGCAGAGAAAAGACCAGCGUCCCAGAAGGAAGGUGACAGCAGUCUCUGGGGGAGGGACUGUGGUUUCUCUGAUCUCAGCACCCCCCUCCGCCCAGGCCCCACCCCUGCCCCUCCCAGAGCUGCCUAGAAGUGGUAGGUUAGAGCUCCUCCUGGGUCACCCCUUUCCCUUUGGGGAAAGAAUUACAGACCCAGGCCCUUUCUACCAGAGGACUCUUCUCCAUCAUCAAAUCCCUCCUGGGGGGUGGGGAGUGCAUCUUCCUACAUCCCCACCUACCAGACCUCCAGGGCCCGGGCCCCCAAAGCAGGUCAUCUGAGAUGACGGUCAAGCUAGAUUUUGAAGAAUGUCUCAAGGACUCACCCCGCUUCCGAGCCUCGAUUGAACUGGUGGAAGCUGAAGUGUCAGAAUUGGAGACCCGCCUGGAAAAGCUUCUCAAGCUGGGUUCCUGCCUUCUGGAGAGUGGCCACCAUUACCUUGCCGCCAGCCGGGCCUUCGUUGUUGGCAUUUGUGACCUGGCUCACCUGGGUCCACCAGAGCCCAUGAUGGCGGAGUGUCUGGAAAAAUUCACUGAGAGUCUGAACCACAAGCUGGACAGCCAUGCUGAGCUUCUUGAUGCUACUCAACACACACUCCAGCAGCAAAUCCAGACUCUGGUCAAGGAAGGUCUCCGGGGCUUCCGAGAGGCUCGCAGGGAUUUCUGGCGAGGGGCAGAGAGCCUGGAGGCUGCUCUUUCCCACAAUGCAGAGGUCCCCAGGCGCCGUGUCCAAGAAGCAGAGGAUGCUGGAACUGCUUUGAGGACCGCUAGAGCUGUGUACCGGAGCCGAGCAUUAGAUUAUGCCCUGCAGGUCAAUGUGAUCGAGGAUAAGAGGAAAUUCGACAUCAUGGAGUUCAUACUGCGUUUGGUUGAGGCACAGGCCACCUAUUUCCAGCAGGGCCAUGAAGAGCUAAACCAGCUGGCUCAGUAUCGGAAGGAAUUGGGUGCCCAGUUGCACAACCUGGUCUUGAACUCAGCUCGUGAGAGGAGAGACAUGGAACAGAGGCACGUGCUACUGAAGCAGAAGGAGCUGGGUGGUGAGGAGCCAGAGCCCAGCCUAAAGGAGGGAUCUAGUGGCUUGGUAAUGGAAGGACAUCUUUUCAAACGCGCCAGCAAUGCAUUUAAGACCUGGAGCAGACGCUGGUUUACCAUUCAGAACAACCAACUGGUUUACCAGAAGAAAUAUAAGGACCCUGUAACCGUGGUGGUGGAUGACCUUCGUCUCUGUACAGUGAAGCUCUGUCCAGACUCAGAAAGGCGUUUCUGUUUUGAAGUAGUGUCCACCAGCAAGUCCUGUCUCCUCCAGGCUGACUCUGAGCGUCUCCUGCAGUUGUGGGUCAGUGCUGUUCAAAGUAGCAUUGCCUCAGCCUUCAGUCAGGCUCACCUGGAGAACAGCCCUCGGGGGCCAGGCCAGGUCUCAGGAUACCAUUCCCCAGGCUCUGCUGCUACUCUGAGUUGUGGUGGACCAGCCAGAGGAAGGGAACCUGGGGGAGUUGGGCAGGUGGCAGCCCAGGUACAAAGUGUGGAUGGAAAUGCUCAGUGCUGCGACUGUAAGGAGCCAGCCCCAGAGUGGGCCAGCAUCAACCUUGGUAUCACUCUCUGCAUUCAGUGCUCCGGCAUCCACAGGAGCCUUGGCGUUCAUUUCUCCAAAGUCCGCUCUCUGACCCUUGAUUCCUGGGAACCAGAACUAGUGAAGCUUAUGUGUGAGCUGGGGAAUGUUGUCAUCAACCAGAUCUAUGAGGCCCGGGUGGAGGCCAUGGCCGUGAAGAAGCCAGGGCCCAGCUGCUCCCGACAGGAAAAGGAAGCCUGGAUUCAUGCCAAGUAUGUGGAGAAAAAGUUCCUGACCAAGCUUCCUGAAAUUCGAGGGAGAAGAGGUGGCAGGGGACCCCCAAGAGGACAUCCUCCUGUGCCCCCAAAGCCUUCCAUCAGGCCACAGUCGGGGAUUGUCAGAUCCAAGUCAGAAUUCUCUUCUAGCCUGUGAGUUUCUCCUCCAAAAUGGGGCAAAUGUGAACCAAGCAGACAGUGCUGGCCGGGGCCCACUCCACCAUGCCACCAUUCUUGGCCACACAGGGCUUGCUUGCUUGUUCCUGAAACGGGGUGCGGAUCUGGGGGCUCGAGACACAGAAGGCAGGGACCCUCUGACUAUCGCAAUGGAAACCACCAAUGCUGACAUCGUAACUCU